AUAUACAAAAUUCAACGUAUCUGAAUGCCUCAUUCUGAAGUUGAUGACUCUGGAAUUUCGAAGAAAUUCGUGGUGACAACACUAAGUUUAAGAAUGAUAUGGACAGCUUGUCUGAAUACCUGCGUGGUGAAGUUGAUAGCUGCGGAAGGAAAUUCUGGUGACAACAAAUAAUGAUAUGGACAUGUUCUUUGGUCAAGCACAUGUCUGAUCCUUACGGAAUGGAAUCUCAAGAAUAAAGUCAAGAGCGACUUGCAAUUGGCAGUUUGGCACUCCUGGGGCUUGAAGCAUGAGAUGGCCAUCCGUGCAUAAAGCAAUGGAGAAAUUGUUGACAAUGAGCAGCCAAGUCAAUGGGGCUUUCUUGUGAGGGAAAGAACUGACGGAUGACCUUGAGGAAAUUGAAGUAUCAAUGCUGUGCAUUAGAGAAUCUUAUCGCUUGCUGUUGAAGUUUGAAAGUUUUAUUCAUUAAUUUAUGCAUCUGGUAGUGGCGGAAAAUAUACUUUCUCAAGGUAGCACUUGAAAAUGUCACGGAAAAAUAUUCAGAACAGUGAUCGAUAGUUGCCAUCUGUUUCGCCCA